rnacentral:rRNA from 1 species
GCAUAUCAAUAAGCGGAGGAAAAGAAACUAACUAGGAUUCCCUUAGUAACGGCGAGUGAACCGGGAUGAGCUCAAAUUUAAAAUCUGGCGUCUUUCAGGCGUCCGAGUUGUAAUCUAUAGAGGCGUUUUCCGCGCCGGACCGCGUCCAAGUCUCUUGGAAUAGAGUAUCAAAGAGGGUGACAAUCCCGUACUUGACGCGACAACCGGUGCUCUGUGAUACGUUCUCAAUGAGUCGAGUUGUUUGGGAAUGCAGCUCUAAAUGGGUGGUAAAUUCCAUCUAAGGCUAAAUAUUGGCGAGAGACCGAUAGCGAACAAGUACCGUGAGGGAAAGAUGAAAAGCACUUUGGAAAGAGAGUUAAACAGCACGUGAAAUUGUUAAAAGGGAAACGAUUGAAGUCAGUCGUGUGAAAGGUAUUCAGCCGUCUCUGGCGGUGUAUUUGCCUUUCACGGGUCAACAUCAGUUUGAUCCGGUAGAAAAAGGCAGGAGGAAGGUGGCACCCUCGGGUGUGUUAUAGCCUCUUGUCAUAUGUGCCGGACCAGACUGAGGAACGCAGCUUGCCGCAAGGCCGGGGUUCGCCCACGUACAAGCUUAGGAUGUUGACAUAAUGGCUUUUAACGACCCGUCUUGAAACACGGACC